rnacentral:rRNA from 1 species
AGCAGCAGCCGCGGGAAUACGUAGGUGGCAAGCGUUAUCCGGAAUUAUUGGGCGUAAAGCGCGCGUAGGCGGUUUUUUAAGUCUGAUGUGAAAGCCCACGGCUCAACCGUGGAGGGUCAUUGGAAACUGGAAAACUUGAGUGCAGAAGAGGAAAGUGGAAUUCCAUGUGUAGCGGUGAAAUGCGCAGAGAUAUGGAGGAACACCAGUGGCGAAGGCGACUUUCUGGUCUGUAACUGACGCUGAUGUACGAAAGCGUGGGGAUCAAACAGGAUUAGAUACCCCGGUAGUCCCUGUCUCUUAUAA